rnacentral:rRNA from 1 species
UACGGAGAGGGCGAGUGUUAUUCAUAGUGAUUGGGCGUAAAGGGCGCGUAGACGGCUGCUUAAACUUUUGAUUAAAAUCCCAUGGCGAAACCGUGGACAACAAAAGAAUUGUGCGGCUAAGAAUUUAUUAGAAGUUAACAGUACUUUCAGAGUAAAGGUAAUAAUUAUUGAUCCUGAGAGGACUCCCAAUAGCGAAGCAGUUAACUAUAGUUGAUUGACGUUGAGGCGCGGAGCAUGGGGAUCGAACAGG